UACCUGUCAGUUUGAUCAGCGAAGCCCUCAGCAGGUGCUGACGGGUACAACUUCCUGGAGAAGAAGGGCACUGGUGCCGAACAAGAAUUGUAAACUGUGAAGUAACUACUAUGGAAAAGAUUAAGUAAAGCAUUGGAGGCGGAUGAUUUUGACAAUAAAGAGGGUGUAUGUGGAAAAGAUAUGUUCAGCAUCUACAAAAGAAUAGAAGUGGACUUCAUCUUCAAAGGAAUGCUUUAUAAACCCACCUUGAGAUAAUCACACUUGUAAGGGAAAGAAAUAGUUGGACACACUUCACUCGUCGAUAAAACUUUGGGGAACUGUUUUUGUAACUAUUACAUUUUCACUGGCGUCUCAUUGUUUAAAAUAGUGUGUGCAUUAGGUGGCGGAUUAAGAAAAAAAUAAUUUUGUCAGCAGACCUCCACAUGACCUGUCAACAGGAAAAGGAGUAGAUCUGACUCUCUUGCAAGAAAUUCAGAAAGGGUCCAUUUCUGUCACAUCAGUACAAGUACAGAUACUGGAAUGAAGGUGUUUGAAAUUUGAAGGUGUUUGAAAUUAUUCCAGAUUUUAAAAUUAAAUGCAGCAAAGUAGAAAAAUCCUAAACACUUCCAAAGAUACUGCACAAUUGCAUGCCUUAUCUAACCCUGAGAUGUGUGAAAAAGCAUGAUUCCUUCCCUCCUAUCUCUUCUGUCCCUCUAGUAUCUGAACCCUGUUUUAAAAACUGAGGAGUCCUUUACAUGGAUUUGAUGAAUUAUACUCAUGACAAAAACUUGGCAUGGCUUUAAGAUACUCUCAUAUGUGAAGGUCACAACUAUUUAAGGAUUAGGCCACAAGAGCCUACAUGGAGAUGUAGUAGAUGUGUUAAGCUGCUGCGUAUGCUAUUUUCUGAAAUAUUUGCCUACUCUAAUAAUUGCUUUUAAGCUAAAAUAGUGCUCAAGUUCCGUCUUGCUGAUUGAAGGGCUGUGUUAUCAACUAGCCAGAAACCUGAAAACUUAUUUAUCCUGUACAAAAAAAUUGCAUGAUAGUCAUUUUCAGUUGGAGCACAAAAGUGCAAAGGAUUAACACGGUUUUCUAUUUUUGCCACUAAGAAAAUAUUAAUAUUACUGGAAAGUUGGGUGCCACACUGGGAGACCAAAAUUGUCUGCAGAAAAGGCAUAACAAGCCUACAACCCAUGUAACUGUUCUGUAUUCCUUUCCUGCUGUGCUUCAUGCCAAACCUGGGGCUGAGCGUUUCUUUCCCAAUGUUAUAUUGGACUCCACUGCUGACACUGCCAAGCAUGUGUGCCUCUCGCCACCAUUUACAGUGUGCUUGGCUCACGUCUGGCUGCCUGAUGGUCCUGGGCACAUCAGUAUCACUGUUGUUGUUGCUCUUGUUGUUGCUGUCGUUGUGGGUGUAUUCUGCAGAAUGUAACUCUCUGUCCAUUAAGGGUUGUCCACUCUGUAUCUAAAUCUCAUGAAGAUAGAGCAGGGCAUGACGAGACCGAUAGUCAGUAAAAGGUACUCCCUGGGGAUCUGAGUAGAGAACAAUUGCAGGCUGCAUUUUAGAACUCCAUUAGCUUCUUUUUGCUCUGACCGUGCUUUGAGCAUCCGUGUUUUGAGAAGUACAGUUGAAUUUAAAAGGCAUUUAUUCAUUGACAAAUACGGAACUUCAGAAGUAGGUCAAUGGCCCAACGGGAUACAUAUAGGGGAAAAGACUGCAAGACCAAGAACUUAUAUUAAAACCAACCAAAUAUAUAUUUAUCACUGUUAUUUGAAUUCAGGCUUUUGGUUUUAUCACAUGUGCUCUUCCUAUUUCCAGUACCUUAAUCUAUCACAAAAAUGACGCUCUGUGCCUCAGUAAAGUCUCCUGCUGCUCUCAAAGGAUUGUAAAAGUUGGCUGUCUGCAUAAAAAUUAAAACAAGUAUCUGCAAAGUCCAGUUUUAUUCAAAAAUUACUACAUAUGCUUAAUUUGGAUUCAAACUCCCAGACAGUACACUCCUUUCAGUCUGGUUAUAAAAGCAAAUGAACAUAUAAAAAACGUUCUGUCCUUUUGCACAGUGUGUUGGGAAUAGAGCAUUUCUGUGGAUAAGCCUGACAAGAGCCCAUCUCAGACAGUAGGCUGUGAUUUGGACCUGUGCAAUUAAGCGAGCAGUAUUUUAUCUAACCAGCAUUCCUGUUUGCUCAAGGUGGCUGCUUAUUUGCUGCCCCCAACUUUGCCACCGGGAUUGUUCCUGCUGCGCGGCGCUGCUGCCUGUGCCGCGUGCCGGGCUGGAGCCGCCGGCGGUGGGAUCCGAGACCUGGGGAGCUGGGGAGGUCAGGCUGCGGAGCAGCCGCCCCAUAAGGGUGCAAGGAGAUGGUGUAGGAAAUGUCACGCGGGCUAAAAAUACCUAGCGCCGGCUGCAGAGUUGCGCUACGGAAACGUUUCCAAACUGGUGAGGAAGUUGCCGGCCUGGCAGCCGCCAGCCCCGGGGGGACAGCGGCGCGGCUGGGCUCCGCCGCCCGCGGGGCUCGCGCA